CCUUCCUUCGCGGGAGGGCGGUGGUUUUCAAUCGUGCCUUAAAAUUCCUUAAAAGCAGGGGGUCUCCCCUCCGCGAGAGGCGGUUGGCAGAGUGCGUGAAUAAACCGGCUAUUAGGCUGAUGCUUCAAGUAACACUAUCCGGCACCAAGGUACAAAAUGUCGGUAUUGGACUCUGAUCUUGUGAUGCCAGUAUGAUAAUAAUUACUGUUUUACAUUAACGAUGUCUUGGUUCUUACAGCUCGGUUAUUCAAUUUAUAGCUAGAAUAGUUGAAGAUCCCCUAGGAUAAGGUUGUGAAGCUGAUACUAGUAUUACCCCAUCGGUUUUGUUGUUUUUAUAUUAAUGGGGGCUCCCCUCUUCUUGUCUGAGGUAGAGAAAGGGCUUAUGGAUUAAGACUUCCCCUCCCCCUGCUAUUUUAUCUCUCUUAAUGUGCAUGCGUUUUAAUGGUAUUAAAUAAAGGUGAUGACCUCUU